UGAGAAGAAGGAGACGGAGAGGGCUUUAAGAAGCAAUUGGCUAUUAGUGUGCUGUCAGCAAACUGUGGCUAGAGGCUGCGGGUUCUGGACGUCUCCAGGAUAAUUAGGAAGAUGAUGGAUUAAAGUGAAGAUUGUGACAUUUUCUGAUAAGCGGCCCAAAAGCAGGACCAUGCCUUAUCAAGGAACCUCUCUCCUUGCAUAACUGCCUGUUGGGACUCCUGUCCUCUGUGAAGACAUUCUCUUCUCAAUGUUAAUACCUCUGUUUAUCUCUCUGCCAAGAUUUCUCAGCUAGGACCUUUAUCUUUCUGCCAGGACUUUGUCACUAGGAAGUCAGUCUUCCUAGCAAAAACUGGCUUCUGCAGUGCCAACAAUAAACUUCC